rnacentral:rRNA from 1 species
AAAUUACCCACUCCCGGCACGGGGAGGUAGUGACGAAAAAUAACGAUACGGGACUCAUCCGAGGCCCCGUAAUCGGAAUGAGUACACUCUAAACCCUUUAACGAGGAUCAAUUGGAGGGCAAGUCUGGUGCCAGCAGCCGCGGUAAUUCCAGCUCCAAUAGCGUAUAUUAAAGUUGUUGCGGUUAAAAAGCUCGUAGUCGAAUCUGUGUCCCGCGCCGCCGGUUCAUCGCUCGCGGUGUUUAACUGGCGUGUCUCGCGGGACGUCCUGCCGGUGGGCCUCCCGGCGCGGUCGUCGUGCGGUCGUCGCGCCUCGAGCGCGGUCGGCCGUCGGCGCGCCGUCGCCGCGGCCCAACUCGUACGUCGUUCUACGGCGGGUGCGAAUCCCAUCGCGGUGCUCUUCGUUGAGUGUCGAGGUGGGCCGGCACGUUUACUUUGAACAAAUUAGAGUGCUUAAAGCAGGCCGACUUACGCCUGAAUAUUGUGUGCAUGGAAUAAUGGAAUAGGACCUCGGUUCUAUUUUGUUGGUUUUCGGAACCCCGAGGUAAUGAUUAACAGGAACGGAUGGGGGCAUUCGUAUUGCGACGUUAGAGGUGAAAUUCUUGGAUCGUCGCAAGACGGACAGAAGCGAAAGCAUUUGCCAAAAACGCUUUCAUUGAUCAAGAACGAAAGUUAGAGGUUCGAAGGCGAUCAGAUACCGCCCUAGUUCUAACCAUAAACGAUGCCAGCUAGCGAUCCGCCGACGUUCCUCCGAUGACUCGGCGGGCAGCUUCCGGGAAACCAAAGCUUUUGGGUUCCGGGGGAAGUAUGGUUGCAAAGCUGAAACUUAAAGGAAUUGACGGAAGGGCACCACCAGGAGUGGAGCCUGCGGCUUAAUUUGACUCAACACGGGAAACCUGACCAGGCCCGGACACCGGAAGGAUUGACAGAUUGAGAGCUCUUUCUUGAUUCGGUGGGUGGUGGUGCAUGGCCGUUCUUAGUUGGUGGAGCGAUUUGUCUGGUUAAUU